GACGAACGCUGGCGGCGUGCUUAACACAUGCAAGUCGAGCGAAGAAAUUCCUUCGGGAAUGGAUUAGCGGCGGACGGGUGAGUAACACGUGGGUAACCUGCCUCAUAGAGGGGAAUAGCCUUUCGAAAGGAAGAUUAAUACCGCAUAAGAUUGUAGUUUCGCAUGAAACAGCAAUUUAAGGAGUAAUCCGCUGUGAGAUGUACCCGCGUCGCAUUAGCUAGUUGGUGAGGUAAAGGCUCACCAAGGCGACGAUGCGUAGCCGGCCUGCGAGGGUGAGCGGCCACAUUGGGACUGAGACACGGCCCAGACUCCUACGGGAGGCAGCAGUGAGGAAUAUUGCACAAUGGGGGAAACCCUGAUGCAGCAACGCCGCGUGAGUGAUGACGGUCUUCGGAUUGUAAAACUCUGUCUUCAGGGACGAUAAUGACGGUACCUGAGGAGGAAGCCACGGCUAACUACGUGCCAGCCGCCGCGGUAA
rnacentral:rRNA from 1 species